rnacentral:tRNA from 7 species
GCCCAGGUGGUGGAAUGGCAGACACGCAGGACUCAAAAUCCUGUGCUCGCAAGAGCAUGCGAGUUCGACUCUCGCCCUGGGCA